GGGGAGGGCGGUGGCGGCCGUCCCUCCCCCCGCAAGAUGGCGGCGGCGGAGCAGCAGCCGCCGCCGCCCGAGGGUGGGAGGCCGCUGAGCGCCCUCCUCGGCGGCAUCGCCCAGGCCGCCUACUACGGCAAGGAGGGCAUCACGGAGGAGCUGCUGCGCGGGCAGCUCUACCCCGAGGCGGCUCCGGAGGAGUUCCGGGCGCUGCGCGCCAAGAUGGGCGGCCUGCUGCAGUCAAUUGCUUCAGCAGACAUGGAUUUGAAUCAGCUGGAGGCUUUUCUCACUGCCCAAACCAAAAAACAAGGUGGCAUCACAUCAGAUCAAGCUGCAGUUAUUGCAAAGUUUUGGAAAAAUCACCGAAUAAAGAUCCGAGAGAGCCUGAUAAAUCAAAGCCGGUGGGAUAAUGUCUUGAAAAACAUGAACUGGAGAGUGGAUUUGAAAUCACAGUCAAGACACAUUGAUCAGAUAAAUACCCCUGUUGCAAUAGUUGAAAUGGAACUGGGAAAAAGCGGGCAGGCAGGAAGCGUGGCAAACUAAAUCACAGAUUUGGCAAGCAGUCUGGAGCGAUACCAGAAGCAUGACAACAGCAAGGAGUAGAACUGAGUGGCAUGAAUCUGAAUUUCUCUGUCUGGAAUUUGAUGAGGCCAAGGUGAACCAGAUGCUGAAGAAACUGUCAGAAAUAGAGGAGAGCAUGACCUCGCUGACUCAGACCACUUAGCUCUUGCAGCAAAUAAAGAGAUUGCAAUUCAGAAAAAGAA